GGUCUUGUGGUCUAGUGGUAUGAUUCUCGCUUAGGGUGCGAGAGGCCCCGCGUUCGAUCCGCGGCAAGACCC
rnacentral:tRNA from 1 species